ACCCUAUCUUGUGUUCAAGGUCCUUCGAUUCGGGAGUCUCGAAGGCUAAGAGGGAAGCUGGUGAGACUGGAGAACGGUCGAAUCCGGCGCUGCCCCCGCAACUGUGAACGGCGAGCUUCUGUCCGAAAGCGCCACUGGGAUGUCCCGGGAAGGCGGACAGGUGGUGAUGACCCGUGAGCCAGGAGACCUGCCUUGUUCGGAAAACGUCA
rnacentral:ncRNA from 2 species